AACCCAUGGUGUGGGCAUCUUCUCAAGAGGUUCUUGUAUCUCUCCUAUGCAUCGUAGAGUGUUUCUAAAUCCAUUUGCGUAAAAGAAGAGAUAUAAUUACGUAAUUGU
rfam:Gossypium hirsutum cultivar TM-1 unplaced genomic scaffold scaffold4513.1, whole genome shotgun sequence